rnacentral:rRNA from 1 species
UACAGAGGGUGCGAGCGUUAAUCGGAAUUACUGGGCGUAAAGCGCGCGUAGGCGGUUUUGUAAGUCGGGUGUGAAAUCCCCAAGCUUAACUUGGGAACUGCAUUCGAGACUGCAUAGCUAGAGUAUGGGAGAGGGAAGUGGAAUUUCAGAUGUAGCGGUGAAAUGCGUAGAUAUCUGAAGGAACAUCAGUGGCGAAAGCGACUUCCUGGACCAAUACUGACGCUCAUGUGCGAAAGCGUGGGGAGCAAACAGG